GUGAUCAGACCUAUUGCUUCCCGGACUUCUGUGAACUCCAGCUUUUCUGCUUCAAGUUGAAGUGGUAACUUUCUCUCCAAUUCUUCACCUACCUGCCCUUGCAGACCAAUCUUCACUUUCUUGCUUCUCCCUCCUUCAAGCUCCUCUGUCCAUGGAAUUCUCCAGGCAAGAAUACUGGAGUGGGUUGCCUUUCCCUUCUCCAGGGGAUCUUCCCAACCCAGGUCAAAGAAGCUACAGGCAAACCAGUCCACUCAGUGCUAUGUACUCUUCUUCACACAACAUUUGCGGGGCCUGAAUAUCCUCUUCUCACUCUUCAAAUCCUACCUGCACUCUUGGGUCAGCUCAAAUUUUGUCUCCUCCGAAGACUCUAGACAUGCCAUAAGCGCUAUGAAUUGGAGCAGACAUAAAGGGCAACAGAAUAAAAAGUCAAAGUUUACUAAUCCAGAGUGCACAUGUAUGGGGAGGAUGAUUAAGUAAAAAGCAAAGAAAAGGUAUGGGUUUUUUUGGGAAAUAGUCAGUGAAUUAUAAAAUUUUAAAACUACUCAGUUAUUUUCAUAUUUAUAUAGUGAUACAAAUAAUGACUGAAGUAACUAGCAAAGGGCUUGCUUGCUGUAACCCAAGUAUUUUAAUAAAUACAUCUCAUGUAUAA